rnacentral:rRNA from 1 species
AGGGGAUUAUUGGACAAUGGGCGCAAGCCUGAUCCAGCCAUGCCGCGUGAGUGAUGAAGGCCCUAGGGGUGUAAAGCUCUUUCACCGGUGAAGAUAAUGACGGUAACCGGAGAAGAAGUCCCGGCUAACUUCGUGCCAGCAGCCGCGGUAAUACGAAGGGGGCUAGCGUUGUUCGGAUUUACUGGGCGUAAAGCGCACGUAGGCGGACUUUUAAGUCAGGGGUGAAAUCCCGGGGCUCAACCCCGGAACUGCCUUUGAUACUGGAAGUCUUGAGUAUGGUAGAGGUGAGUGGAAUUCCGAGUGUAGAGGUGAAAUUCGUAGAUAUUCGGAGGAACACCAGUUGCUAGGGCGGCUCACUGGACCAUUACUGACGCUGAGGUGCGAUAGCGUAGGGAGCAAACAGG